rnacentral:tRNA from 1 species
AGCCUCGUAGCUCAAUGGUCGAGCAGUGUGCCCACAUAAUUAAGGGCAUGCCGAUGGCGGUUCGAGUCCGCCCGAGGUUACAA